UACGUAGGGGGCUAGCGUUGUCCGGAAUCAUUGGGCGUAAAGAGCGCGUAGGCGGCCAGAUAAGUCCGGUGUGAAAGUCACAGGCUCAACCUGUGAAUGCCGCUGGAAACUGUCUGGCUAGAGUCCGGAAGGGGCGAGUGGAAUUCCUGGUGUAGCGGUGAAAUGCGCAGAUAUCAGGAAGAACACCCGUGGCGAAGGCGGCUCUCUGGGACGGUACUGACGCUGAGGAGCGAAAGCGUGGGGAGCGAACAGG
rnacentral:rRNA from 1 species